UUUUGUUGUGUCGUGCUAUUUGCCAUGUACCUGUGUUAACUUGCCACUUGCUGAGGGAGGAGAUGAUGAUAUUUUGUUGUGUCGUGCUAUUUGCCAUGUACCUGUGUUAACUUGCCACUUGCUGAGGGAGGAAAUGAUGAUAUUUUGUUGUGUGGUGCUUCUGCCAUGUACCUGUGUUAACUUGCCACUUGCUGAGGGAGGAGAUGAUAGAUUUUGUUGUGUGGUGCUAUCUGCCAUGUACCUGUGUUAACUUGCUGAAGGAAAACUCUGCCAUCUGUUAUUAUUUUUCUUCCACCUUGUUUAUGAACGAAGUUUGGUCCAUUUGAUCCUAUGGAGUACAUCACUCGGGUGUUUUCUUUUUUGCUGUAGCGAAUCCCAAUUGAGUAGUUCAUGCACAUAUGUCCUGAAGCUUGGUUAUAUAUGAAACCUAUAGUUGGUCAUGUGGUUUCAUGCUAUAAAAAUUAGGAAAACCUACAGUAUUAAACUAUUAGUACUUUCGAAGCAUCGAGGCAAGGCUGGUUAAUUCGUCAUUUUUGGUGAAAGUGAAAGCAAUAUUGCAAAAGAUAGACCGAAUCCCUAUGUUUCUUUCAUCCAUAAAAUUGUUCUGUUUAUACAGCUUGUUGCGGAUGUAUGUUUAUAGGUAAAUCUUCAGCUUUCAACUUCUCAUAAAUGAUGAGGAGUUGGUUCCUUGUAAUUGCAUUCAAAUAGAUUCUUUCCACAACUAAAUUCUUUCUUGGCGCUGCCUUCAGGACCUGUAAGUAUCGAGUAUGUUUUGAGAGGAACCAUUUUAUCUUGGGUUUGCAAUGAAACUUGGUAUAUUGACGAUACGACCAGUAACUAAAAUAUGUCAC
rnacentral:lncRNA from 1 species